AUGGCCAGGGACCGCGAGGCGAGGGCGCGCAGCCGCCAGGCGACCUUUGAGAGCCUGUCGGCCGUCGUCGCCGCCCUCGCCGCACGUGGCCGGCCCGUCACGUGCGUCGUUUGCAGCAUGGUUCUCCCCGCGGCGCUGGACGUCGCGCGUGAGCACGCCAUCCCGCUCGCCGUGUACUGGAUCCAGCCGGCCACCGUGCUCGCCGCGUACUACCACUACUUCCACGGCCACGGCGACCUCGUCGCGUCCCACGCCGCCGACCCCGCGUUCGAGGUGUCCCUGCCCGGCAUGCCCCGCCCGCUCCGGAUCCGCGACUUCCCGUCCUUCCUCGUCGACACCACGGGCAGCGAGCUGGCCAAGCUCAUGAACGAAGCGGCCCGAGAAGUGUUCGAGCGCUUGGGUGAUCACGGCUGCACCAAGGUUCUCGUCAACACUUUCGACGAGCUGGAGCCGGCAGCGCUGGCGGCCAUGAAGGAGCGCCUAGACGUGUUCGCCGUGGGGCCGGUGAUCGGGCCCUCCUCCUCGGCCGAGCCGCGCAUCCACCUGUUCAACCACGCCGGCGCCGACGAGAAGAGGUACAUGGAGUGGCUGGGCGCGGAGGCGGCGAGGUCGGUGGUGUACGUUUCGUUCGGGAGCGUAUGGACGUACACCGAAAAGCAGAUGGAGGAGAUUGCCAACGGGCUGCGCCCGUGCGGGCGGCCGUACCUGCUCGUCGUGCCCAACGAUGGGCGGCAGGAGGACGUGAGCCGGAGCCUGGACGACGUCGUGCUAGAGGGGCUGGGCAUGGUGGUGGAGUGGUGCGACCAGCCGAAGGUCCUGUCGCACCCGUCCGUGGGAUGCUUUGUCACGCACUGCGGCUGGAACUCCGCGCUGGAGGCCAUGUCGCUCGGCGUGCCGGUCGUCGCCGCGCCAAGCUUGUUCGACCAGCGGACGAACGCGUUCCUGAUAGAGGAGGAGUGGGCUGCCGGCGUCAGAGGGGAGCGCAACAGCGAGGGCGUCUUCACUCGGGAGGAGCUCGCGAGGUGCGUGGAGCUGCUCAUGGGUCAUGGCCCAAGGGCCAUUGAAAUCAGGGAAAGAGUAGAGGCUCUGAAAGGGAUGGCGCGAGAGGCCGCGGCUUCAGGCGGGCCGGCGGAGCGGAGCCUCCGAAGCUUUGUCAUGGCGGCCGGUUCAAACAUCGGAUGA
rnacentral:rRNA from 1 species